rnacentral:lncRNA from 1 species
GGUGCCUUAAAGGGCCAGCGCCUGAGAACCAGCGCAGGUGGAGCACAUGGGAAUGGGCCACGCGGCCGGCAGGGCCGGCUGGCGCUCUUGGGUGUUCGCGCCGGACCCGGGAAGGAGUAGUUAGGAGCACCCUCGACUCCCAGCAGCUAAAGAGUGGUCCUGAUCCGCUCCGAAGACGCGCCGACACCGCCUCCUGUCCGGUGCCCAGAGGGCCUGGCCCCCUCCAGGCCCCGCCCGGGUGACCUUGGGCCUGCCGCCUCACCUCCCGGGCUGGGGUUCGAUUCCGGGCCAGCCGGGAAGGCGAGCCUGACCCUAGGCGGCAGCGGGCGCCCCCCAAGUGGGAACAGAAUUGCCUGUCGCCCUCACCCUGGCCACGAACCCGAGUGUCUGAGAAAUGUGAAUUUUGUUUUUUUCUAAAGAACUGCUUUGGACAGAGUGGAACCAACACGCCAUUGGGAUUCCCGGAAGACAGAUUUUUUGCCCCGGCCCUGCCCCUUCCCGGCUCUGCCACAGUCCGUUCUAUCUCCGUGGACCUCCUUUUCUCCUUUGUAAAGUGAGGGAGCCUGGUGUGACAGUGGUGUCAAACUUUUGGUGGACAUUUAAUUCAACAAAUAUUUGCUUACUUCGUGCUGUGGAGGCCUGCAAGGUUCUAGGAAACGGAUUUGUCAACAAGCCCAACUAACAAAUAUCUAUCCUUGUGGAAAGUACAUUCUAUCCUAAGGUGGGGAAGGAGACAAUAAACAACUGCUAAACAAAGCUUUGUCCAGUAUCUAGGAAAACAGUAAUUACUGCGGUAAUAAGUUAAAUCAGACCAGCUAUUUUCGCGUGAGUGAUAAGGGAAAAUUUCCUUGAACCGAGACCCCAAACUAUUAUGAAUCAGCCAGUCUGGGAUUGGACCCAGAAAUCUGCGAGUCUCACAAGACCCCUCCGUGUUCAUGCACAGCAGUACAACAGGGGGUCCCACAGGUCACUGGAGCAGUCCUGGCCUCUGACAGGCUGCGUGCGAUCCACCUGCUCAAGACCCAACGGCCUGGAAUGUUGGCCAUCUCCAAAGCAGGGGUUAGAUACCCGACCUGAUGGAUGGAGGGGCAGUUGACUGAAAGUGCUUGGAAUUGCACCAGCCAGCAAGAGUGGGCUGCAGAAUUGGAACCAGGAGCGCUGGGGAAAGUACUGAUGGAGAUAACUGGUAAUGUGCAUCCAAUUCCAACUUUUCCAUCACGCCUCUAGGCCUCCAGCUCUCCACACUGCCCUGGGACCCCUCUCCCGGUGGAAGACUGGGGUACAUUUGGACUGGUGCCCCGGAGCUACUGUGAAGCUGUCUGAGCUGAAGGUGAUUGUCCCAGCAGGGCUGGGGGUCCAGCUGCCCUCCCCUCCACCUGGCCAGUCAUGGCUCAAGGGCUCUGACUUACAUCGCAG